UGAACGCUGGCGGCAGGCCUAACACAUGCAAGUCGAGCGGAUGAAAGGAGCUUGCUCCUGGAUUCAGCGGCGGACGGGUGAGUAAUGCCUAGGAAUCUGCCUGGUAGUGGGGGACAACGUUUCGAAAGGAACGCUUAUACCGCAUACGUCCUACGGGAGAAAGCAGGGGACCUUCGGGCCUUGCGCUAUCAGAUGAGCCUAGGUCGGAUUAGCUAGUUGGUGAGGUAACGGCCCACCAAGGCGACGAUGGCUAGGGGCUCUGAGAGGAGAAUCCCCCACACUGGUACUGAGACACGGACCAGACUCCUACGGGAGGCAGCAGUAAGGAAUAUUGGUCAAUGGGGGCAACCCUGAACCAGCCAUGCCGCGUGCAGGAAGACUGCCCUAUGGGUUGUAAACUGCUUUUGUACGGGAAUAACCACUGGUAUGUAUACCAGCCUGAAUGUACCGUAAGAAUAAGGAUCGGCUAACUCCGUGCCAGCAGCCGCG
rnacentral:rRNA from 1 species